rnacentral:lncRNA from 1 species
AGGCCAGCUCCCGUUCCAACACCUCUACCUUAGGGACAUCUGCAGAAAGGCUGGGCAGUGGCAAAAAAGGGGGCCUUGGAAAAAUGGCCAAUCUCUUAGACCCUCACUUUUAUCAUCUGUAAAAUGGCACUGAGGCGUCCUGUCCUUCUGACUCCUCUGGUUAUGCUAGGAAGCUGAUAAAGACAUGGGCGUCAAAGCAUGAGGCAGAGCAUAAAAGUCACUGACUGAGGGCAUCCCUGCUACUUUGUGAAAGGAACAGGAGGGUAAGGAAGGAGACACAGGGAAAGGACAAGGCAGGUGAGAACGAGUGUCCAGACCUGGGGAUUCCAGACUAAGAACAAGGGCAACAGGAGCAGUGGGGAGAGAUGCAAAACAGACCUGAUCUUAGGAUGCUGGGAAAACUCCCCAGGAGGCGGUGCAGCUCCCUAAGUCGAGCUGACUCCCACAAAGAUCCUCCCCAGGAGGAAGAGUAGUGCCCUGGCAGGGAGCUGGAGCAAUGGAGCUCUCUUGAGGAGGCAGAGGUAUGUCCUGGUAUGCACCCCCCUCUCACCCCAGCAGCUGACCAUGUCACAGGUAGAAGGGAUCAGAGAGACGGUCUGGUCUAACCUCUCAUCUCACAAACAGACCAUCGGCUCACAUGAGAAAGCAAACUAAGAGCUUCUUUAGCUCACUCCUACACUGUCAAAGGAACAUUAAAGCCUUCAAUGAAGAGCAUGCUUGCUUUGUGGCUCCCCAUUGACUCAUCCCUUCUACCUUGAGUUAUGAGGUAGCAAGAGCACAUAGAGAAGGAUGAGGAUGAGACCGGCCCUCUCUCACCUUCCCACAGGACAGACCGAUCACUCCCUCACCCAGCCCAGGGGCCAGAACACGAGAAAGAGUAUUCAGUGACUGAGGCACUCCUCUGCCCCCUCUGGAGAAGGAAGAGAGGACAGGGUCCCUUCCAGGCUUUGAGAAGGUCAAAGCUCAAGAAGAUCUGAGGUUAUCUAGUCCAGCCCCAUUGGGAAACUGAGGCUCAAGGAAGGAAAGAGCCUCCCUCCAAGCCUCCAGAUACCUCUUGCACUGCUGGAUCCUUUACUUCUUCAUUUAAGGAAAGCAGUCCUUGGCCCGUCCAAGGAUCCAAAUCGAAAAAAAAAAAAAAAA